UACGUAGGGUGCAAGCGUUAUCCGGAAUUAUUGGGCGUAAAGAGCUCGUAGGCGGUUUGUCGCGUCUGCUGUGAAAACUGGAGGCUCAACCUCCAGCCUGCAGUGGGUACGGGCAAACUAGAGUGCGGUAGGGGAGAUUGGAAUUCCUGGUGUAGCGGUGGAAUGCGCAGAUAUCAGGAGGAACACCGGUGGCGAAGGCGGGUCUCUGGGUAGUAACUGACGCUGAGGAACGAAAGCGUGGGUAGCGAACAGG
rnacentral:rRNA from 1 species